AUGGGAAUUGUAGUUCAAUUGGCCAUGCUGGCAGGGGCAGAUGGGAAUUGUAGUCCAUGCACAUCUGGAGAGCCGCAGGUUGCAGACCCCUGAUUUAUGGGAUUCUAUCUGAACUGUUCAUAUUCUAAUUCAUAAACACAUUAAGUGCUUAUAAGUGUUUCCAUUCCGGUUUGCUGACAAUAGUUGAAUGUACUACAAAUCUCCUCAGUAAAAUUUCUAUAUGAGUUUCAGUAGCAUGCAGGGUGCACUUUCUGAGCAUAUGUGCAUUGCGAGCUGAAAUGGGUUCGAUCGGAUUAUUAUUCCCUCUUUUCAGGGAACCUUGGCAGUGGGAGUUCUCUAAGGGAGUCGAAAUCAGUAAGAGAAUUUGUAACCCCCUUCCCAAACUACAGUUCCCAGGAUCCUCAUGGUUUAUGAACAUCUGGAGGACCAGAGUUGGAUAUCCCUGCUCUAGACAAAGUCACAACUGUCAACUUGGCAUUAAACAAAUAUAUGUUGUAGUGUAGGUAUUUCCUAAUUGUUUUUUUUUUGUUGUUGUUGUAUGAAGAUAACAAAUAGCUCCUCAAUUUCUAAGACUCCUUGAACUUCUCAUUUUGCUCCACACAAGGCUGAAGUGUCUGAAAGUCAAGGCCAGAGCUGGAUCUAACGGUGUGGUAUGCAUACUGUUCCAGCAAAGGCUUUGGUUCAACUGAGGCCUUAAAUGUUACUACAAGGGGGUAAAGAUAUAGGUCCCUCCCUUCUAGGCUGCUAGUAUGUGGGGCCAAAGCACUUCAGGUGUGAGUCUGAAGGCAGGACAGUUUCCCUUGGUAAGCUGGCUAGUUCAGAGUCCUGGGGCUCUUCCUGAACAUUAAAGAAGCUUCUAGAAGUGUCCUAACCCCGUGCUGAAGUUAGGCGCUCAGUUCCCUCCUUAUCUGAGGAGGAAUCUACAUGCUGGUCCGUGACACACUGGUUCUCACAGAUCCAUUGUCUGGUUUUAUAUCUUUAACCAUCAGUAAUGACAAUCCACUAUCCUCAUAAUAUGAUCGGUCCAUUUGGGUUUCUUCACACACUUUACAUUUUUUGAUGUUUUGUGUGCUCACUAAUGUUGAAUUUGAACAGAGGCAAUAACUGAUAUAUUGGCUUUUUAAUGCCAAAACAAAUAGCAAUAAAAAAGAAGGUGAUAAAUCCUG